rnacentral:rRNA from 7 species
AGAGUUUGAUCAUGGCUCAGAUUGAACGCUGGCGGCAGGCCUAACACAUGCAAGUCGAACGGUAACAGGAAGCAGCUUGCUGCUUUGCUGACGAGUGGCGGACGGGUGAGUAAUGUCUGGGAAACUGCCUGAUGGAGGGGGAUAACUACUGGAAACGGUGGCUAAUACCGCAUAACGUCGCAAGACCAAAGAGGGGGACCUUCGGGCCUCUUGCCAUCAGAUGUGCCCAGAUGGGAUUAGCUUGUUGGUGAGGUAACGGCUCACCAAGGCGACGAUCCCUAGCUGGUCUGAGAGGAUGACCAGCCACACUGGAACUGAGACACGGUCCAGACUCCUACGGGAGGCAGCAGUGGGGAAUAUUGCACAAUGGGCGCAAGCCUGAUGCAGCCAUGCCGCGUGUAUGAAGAAGGCCUUCGGGUUGUAAAGUACUUUCAGCGGGGAGGAAGGUGUUGUGGUUAAUAACCGCAGCAAUUGACGUUACCCGCAGAAGAAGCACCGGCUAACUCCGUGCCAGCAGCCGCGGUAAUACGGAGGGUGCAAGCGUUAAUCGGAAUUACUGGGCGUAAAGCGCACGCAGGCGGUCUGUCAAGUCGGAUGUGAAAUCCCCGGGCUCAACCUGGGAACUGCAUUCGAAACUGGCAGGCUUGAGUCUUGUAGAGGGGGGUAGAAUUCCAGGUGUAGCGGUGAAAUGCGUAGAGAUCUGGAGGAAUACCGGUGGCGAAGGCGGCCCCCUGGACAAAGACUGACGCUCAGGUGCGAAAGCGUGGGGAGCAAACAGGAUUAGAUACCCUGGUAGUCCACGCCGUAAACGAUGUCUACUUGGAGGUUGUGCCCUUGAGGCGUGGCUUCCGGAGCUAACGCGUUAAGUAGACCGCCUGGGGAGUACGGCCGCAAGGUUAAAACUCAAAUGAAUUGACGGGGGCCCGCACAAGCGGUGGAGCAUGUGGUUUAAUUCGAUGCAACGCGAAGAACCUUACCUGGUCUUGACAUCCACAGAACUUUCCAGAGAUGGAUUGGUGCCUUCGGGAACUGUGAGACAGGUGCUGCAUGGCUGUCGUCAGCUCGUGUUGUGAAAUGUUGGGUUAAGUCCCGCAACGAGCGCAACCCUUAUCCUUUGUUGCCAGCGGUUAGGCCGGGAACUCAAAGGAGACUGCCAGUGAUAAACUGGAGGAAGGUGGGGAUGACGUCAAGUCAUCAUGGCCCUUACGACCAGGGCUACACACGUGCUACAAUGGCGCAUACAAAGAGAAGCGACCUCGCGAGAGCAAGCGGACCUCAUAAAGUGCGUCGUAGUCCGGAUUGGAGUCUGCAACUCGACUCCAUGAAGUCGGAAUCGCUAGUAAUCGUGGAUCAGAAUGCCACGGUGAAUACGUUCCCGGGCCUUGUACACACCGCCCGUCACACCAUGGGAGUGGGUUGCAAAAGAAGUAGGUAGCUUAACCUUCGGGAGGGCGCUUACCACUUUGUGAUUCAUGACUGGGGUGAAGUCGUAACAAGGUAACCGUAGGGGAACCUGCGGUUG